rnacentral:lncRNA from 1 species
CCUCAGUGUCCGCACCACCCUGCGGGCCGUCCUCUCCACACAGCCACCUCUCGGGGAUGUGCCCCUGCUCCCCAUCCCACUGAUGCAGACCACACUGUUAAAAAUAGAGCCUCUUUAUUGGUACCUGUCAGGUCAGGUACAAUGUGUUCCCACAAACACACAGGCUGGCAAGGCCUCCUGGGCAAGGGGACAGGCCCAGAGCCUGGGUUUCUUGGCACAGACACACAGAAAUGAAUAAAUUAUAGUUCUGACACUUAGGGACAAUAUAAAAAUUGAUGUAAAAUUCAGUAUCAGCAAACAAAGGGCAUGAAAGCCAUAAAGAGCAACCCUCACCAACUGGCCUGUGGCACCUAGAAAGCCUGAGACGGUAGUCCAGAGCAUGCUUCAGCUCUGAGGCAAACCCCCUACUCUCUUGGGGUCCCUGGCUUCCACCUCCUACAUCCUGGGCUGGGAAUAAAGGCUGUGGACUUUGGAGAGGGGACAUGGACCAGAGAGCAGGAAGCAGAGGGGCCAAAUAGGGUAGAGGAGAUUUUGGUCACAGCUGGUCAGCCCAGCCCCCGCCUGCACAGCCAUCCAGGAGCCAGGCAGCUGACAGAGGAGACCACAGGACUCAAGUCCACCCCUGGUCUACAUCAAGGCCCAGGCAGAGCAGGGCAGGGGUGCAGGGUGCAAAGGGACCUCACCCCCAGUACUGCCUACCAGACAGAGAAGUGAAGCCAAAGCCACCUCAGCCUCCAAAUAAAUUAUGAAAAUAAAUUACAGUCUUCACAGUCCAGAGGCUCAGCCACCCAUGGGUCUGGGGCUCAAGGCAAAACAAGAUGCCAUCGGUGGCUGACUUUAGCCCUGUCUCAGCGUCUUUGGGCUAGGAACACCAUAGACCCCCCCAAAAGGGGUCUGCAAAGCUCCAGCAGGAGCCAUGCCUUCUUUCCUGGCACGGGAGGGCCAGGUGGCUGAGUGGUGAAACACCCUCCCCACCCUCUUCAGCACAGAAGAGUCAAUAAAAAUAAAUAAAUAAAUUCAGUGUUGCAGGAAACCAGGAGCGCCUGUAGCUGGGCCAGCACCAAUGGGAGACUGUUACCUAUAGACCUUAGAGAGCCCCAAAAUCACACAAAAGCAGCACUGGGGCUCCUGGGGCAGGGAAAAAGGCACCCUAGUCCUCACACCAGCACAGGCUCCAGAGAUGCUGGGGCAGCGUCAUCGAACUGGCUGUCCAUAAAGGGAGCCAGGACCUCAGGGGCUGGCUCAGGCAAGCCCAUGAGGGACUCCAGGAAGCACGUGCUGGCAUCUGCAGGUGGAGAUAGGCCAGGCAUGGGGCAGUGUGGGGCCUCGAUGCUGUCCAGGCUGCCAGACACUUUCUGGGAAGUGUAGUGAGGACCCAGACUAUAAUCCGGCAAAGCCUGGAGCAGCUCGAAGGAGUCACAGGAAGACAAGCUGAGGUCCACGGAGCUGCUCUGGCCAGCAUCCACGGUGGGUGGCACUGAGGUGUCAGGGAGGCUGCUUUCUCUAAACCCUUCAAGGCCACCAUUUAGGAAGCAGCUGGCAUCAAGGUUGGCAUUUUCAUCCAGGAUGCCAGACAUGAGGUUAGAGCCAGAGUAGUUAUGGGUCCAGCUGGCCAGCCCAACAGGGUCUCCAGUACCAAAGAUGUCAGCUGGGUGGAAGCAGCUGAGGUUGUCCAGGCUCCCAACACCCCCUUCAUCCUCGUCCUCCUCCCUGCCGAAGUCAGCGUCACUGAAACUCAGGAUCCGUGCCAGGUUGUCAUCAUCCACGCCAGGUUGGAAGCCAGGGCCAGGCAGGCCUGAGUGAACAGGAUGGUCUGGGGCCUCACUGGGGCCCGACAAUGAAGAUGCAGUGGAAGAAUCGGUCAUGUCGCUGCUGCAGCUGUUGUCUCCCAGCCCGCUGCUCACAGGAGGCUUACCCAGCGGAGAGUGGAGACCAGGGCGGGCUUGCCAGGGGGCUGGGGGCUACCCUGGGCAGGGGCCUCCAGCUCCCCCGAGGCUCUCCGAACCCUGUUCCAGCUGGAGGCGGGUGAGUGUGUGGAUGAAAUGGGUCUGCACGCGUGCCUGAUUAAAUUCCACACGGCCCUGGGGGUUCUCACAACCCUCCUUGCAGCAGCCACAAGGGAAGGCAGUGUGGUCCAUCUGCAGAGAAAGUAAAGGCCAAAGUGAGUACUUUGUGGAAUGCAACAACCCUGCAGGCUCAGGCUCCCUAUCCCAGCCCAUCCAGCCACUGCACCUGGCACUUGAUGCCUGCCAGGCUGCAGCUGCAGUGCCUGCAGCUCCCGCUUCUCCUCACGGUCGAGCCUUCACACACCCGAAGCCCGAAGCAGAGCCCGCCGUUGCCGAGCUGGGUAGGGCUGUAGGGAGUUCACUUCCUCCAGCCUGCCACUUGCCACAGCUACUGCCAAGUCCUCCUCCACCAAAGCAUCAUCGAUGGCAUCCACUGUGAGAGGGUGGCCACCCUCUGCCUCAAGUAGCCCAGCUGCAGAAGGCUGCAUCCACAGGAAAGGGACGUGAGAAGCACAGACAUGGAACAGACCCUCCCCAGUGUCCACUAUGUGCUAGCACUGCAGUGCGUCAGUGAGCACAGCCAGAACACUGCCCUCGUGGCAUCUGCAAAGACAGGUUCUCCUGUGUCACAACCCAGAAGAGGGACAAACCCUCCCCUAACCUGACAGAUCCACAUCCCCUCCUUCAGGUCAGAGGGAUUCAGGGCUCCAAGGCCCAGGUGCUAUGAUGCAGAUGCAUGGUGCUUCGGGGUUAGGUUAGGACUUUAGGUGCUGCUGGGGAGGGCUCUCCUUACCUUCCUGCGCAGGGUUUCCAGCUUCUCCUCCUUCAAGAGCUGGCGGAGCUUCUCUUGCCGCACCCGGGCUUGCUCCUGGGUAAACCCGCCAAGGAGAAGCGGCGGCAGGCACUGUGGCGAGGGGCCAUGCCCAGAGUACAGCCGCCACGGCUGGGCACGCUGGUGAAGCCCUGACACCUCGGGAAGUAGAAGACGGUGAUGCCAUCGAAGACUACGCGGCGUGAGUGCUCCCGAGGAGCCUGCUUCAGGAUGGGCAGUGCUGGAAGCAGGAAGGGACGAGGAUUAGGCAGGCUUCAGGGAGAUGGCGAAGGCUCUCCCCCCGCAGGUCCCCUCGCCGCCUCCACGCCUUGGAAAAGGACAGAUCUGAACUCUGGAGCCAGCCUGGCUGGCAGGAGUCAGACUUGGCAAACUGAACGCUACGCCCUUGUCAAUCAUGCUUGUUACCAUUGCCCAGUCCACGGUUCAUGACAGGAUUCAUGAGAUUAAACAUCUUCCCAUCACCAUCAGCCAGUCCCUUGUAUAGCCUUCACAGUUUGUAUUAAUUAUCUCUAUAUAUGAUAUAGAAA